AAAUAAAUAAAUAAAACAGAUAGCGUACAAGUAUCGUGAGAGAAAGUUAGAAAUUAAUUGCGCGAAUUUUGAUUGUUUUUUUUGUUCUUACAAUUUUCCUUUUGUAUUAUGAGUCGGUUAGUUGAUUGAGAUGGCAAGCUUAUUUGUAUAAAGCGAAAAUAUUUAUUUUACUCUGGGUGUCAUUGUGCAUUCUUUUAAAGUCAUCUUUAUCACACACGAAGCCAAGUGAUCUAGUCAGAACCAAGCUGAAAAUUUACUAAAACUAUUUUGAAAGGCUGUACUGGUGUUUUUUGCAAUAAACUCAGGUGAGU
rnacentral:rRNA from 1 species